CCCACAUGUAACCGAACUGUCGUGUUUCAUGGCUUUUUGCCACUCCAGCUGUCAAUCAAAGCCCGGAAUGUCAAGGGCAAGAAGAAACCAGCUUAACUCAGAGAGCACUCCCUCCAAGCAUUGCGGAUAAGGGCCACCCUGGAGAACCUUUCGGGGCCGCUGCGGACUUGGGUGGGAGGAAAUGGGGAGGGAGUCGUUUGGGUAUUUCAUGUCUGAUUUCGCCACGGAGUGUGUGUGUGUGUGUGGGUGUGUGUGUGUGUGUGUG